rnacentral:pre_miRNA from 1 species
UACAAUGUUUGACUCUUUGUCUUAUUUGAAAUUUUUUAUGAUUAAUAUUUUUAUUCUUACUAGAUGAUAAAACAUGAAUAAUACUUUAUGCGUAACUAAUUUUUUAAAAGUUUUGUUACAAAAUUUUUAAAUAAAACGAAUGGGUCAAACGUUGGACACGGAAA